rnacentral:rRNA from 1 species
CAGUAGCCGCGGGAAUACGAAGGGGGCUAGCGUUGUUCGGAAUUACUGGGCGUAAAGCGCACGUAGGCGGAUAUUUAAGUCAGGGGUGAAAUCCCGCAGCUCAACUGCGGAACUGCCUUUGAUACUGAGUAUCUUGAGUAUGGAAGAGGUUAGUGGAAUUGCGAGUGUAGAGGUGAAAUUCGUAGAUAUUCGCAGGAACACCAGUGGCGAAGGCGGCUAACUGGUCCAUAACUGACGCUGAGGUACGAAAGCGUGGGGAGCAAACAGGAUUAGAUACCCCCGUAGUCCCUGUCUCUUAUAA